rnacentral:rRNA from 1 species
CCUACGGGUGGCAGCAGUGGGGGAUCUUGCACAAUGGGGGAAACCCUGAUGCAGCGACGCCGCGUGAGUGAAGAAGUAUUUCGGUAUGUAAAGCUCUAUCAGUAGGGAAGAAAAUGACAGUAACUGACUAUGCAGCUCUGGCUAACUACGUGCCAGCAGCCGCGGUAAUACGUAGGGGGCAAGCGUUAUCCGGAUUUAAUGGGUGUAAAGUGAGCGUAGACGGUUAUGUAAGUCUGAAGUGAAAGCCCGUGGUCCAACCCCGGGGGUGCUUUGGAAACUGUGUAACUGGAGUGCAGGAGGGGCAAGCGGAAUUCCAUGUGUAGCGGUGAAAUGCGCAGAGAUAAGGAGGAACACCAGCGGCGAAGGCGACCUGCUGGUCUGUAACUGACGUUGAGGCGCGAAAGCGUGGGGAGCAAACAGGAUUAGAUACCCGGGUAGUC